AUGGCUGAUAAAGUUGGGCGAUCUUUGAUCGUUCCCGAAAUGGGAAAGUCGUUCGAUUCAGAGCAGAAAGCAUAUGACAUGUACAACACGUAUGCCGACAAGAUUGGGUUUAGUAUCAGAAAGAGCCAGACAAAGCGCCGCCAAGAUCGAACUAUAUACCAGAAAUAUAUAGUUUGCAGUAAUGAGGGAGAACUAGAAACCGAAUCAUCAAAGGCCACUACAAGAACAGGUUGCCAGGCUCGUGUUCAAUUUAGUGUCAGUAGAGAGGGGAUUUGCACAGUGCAAAAGGUUGUAACUGAUCACAAUCAUUAUCUUGAACAAUCCCAAUAA
rnacentral:rRNA from 1 species